rnacentral:rRNA from 1 species
CCCGCUCAGAAACUCAAAUGAAUUGACGGGGGCCCGCACAAGCGGUGGAGCAUGUGGUUUAAUUCGAUGAUACGCGAGGAACCUUACCUGGGCUCAAAUGUAUGUUGACGUAUUCUGAAAGGGAUACUUCUUCGGACAAUAUACAAGGUGCUGCAUGGUUGUCGUCAGCUCGUGCCGUGAGGUGUCGGGUUAAGUCCCAUAACGAGCGCAACCCCUAUCAUUAGUUGCCAUCAGGUCAAGCUGGGGACUCUAAUGAAACUGCCUACGCAAGUAGUGAGGAAGGUGGGGAUGACGUCAAAUCAGCACGGCCCUUACGUCCAGGGCUACACACGUGCUACAAUGGCCGAUACAGAGGGCAGCUACCUGGUGACAGGAUGCAAAUCUCCAAAGUCGGUCUCAGUUCGGAUCGGAGUCUGCAACCCGACUCCGUGAAGUUGGAUUCGCUAGUAAUCGCGCAUCAGCCAUGGCGCGGUGAAUACGUUCCCGGGCCUU